AAUAAUUAUUACGAAAGCAAAAAAUUAUGGCGGUAUUUUAAGCUUUUCAGAGGAACUUGCUCUUUAAUGGAUAGAACACCUAAAUCUUACUUAAAUUUGCUAAAUCAAUUUGUAUACCACUAUAAAAUUAAUUAUUUACUUUAAUUAAUAAAGUUUAUAAAUUUUAGAGUAAAUUAAGUCAAGGUGCAGUAAAAAUUUAAGAAUGAAGUGAGUUACAUUUCUUUUAAGAGAACUACAAAUUUAAAAAUAAUAUUAGGAUUUGAAAGUAAAAUUAAAAUAGAAUGUUAA
rnacentral:rRNA from 1 species